UCUUUUCUUUCUUCCUAUGGUGUUGAAAGGGAUGUUUAUACCUUCUUUGAGAGGGAGAGUCAAUUCCUGUUUGUCAUCUGCAAAUGGUUCCCCUGAUGUGUGAUAACAUUAAGGAAACAAUUAUCCUUUUCCUCUCACCUUGAAAGGGAUCUAUUCAUUAGGCUGAAAGGAAUACGGAUGACUAACUGUAACCCUGCCCUUUGACUGGGAGAAUAGAACGAACAACAAUGACAAUAAACUCUUCAGAAAGCAGCGAAUAGGAGAAAGAUCACUGAAAAUGGAGCCGGGAAAGAGAGUCUCCACUUAAUAACUGUGCUCUGAAUCUUAGUUUCCUAGUCUGUAAGGCAAAACAUGCUGCUGACAUCUGAAAAGAAUAAACACAGGAACUUCCUGAUAAUGGAACAUCUUUAUUUUAUGAUGUAAUUUUUACCUCUACUUGCAACGUGGGCAUUUAUUACAUUGGAAAUAAAGUGGUAUGCCUGGGUGGAUAACCAAGUAA